AUUGAACGCUGGCGGCAGGCCUAACACAUGCAAGUCGAACGAGUGGCGGACGGGUGAGUACUGUCUGGGAAACUGCCCGAUGGAGGGGGAUAAAUACUGGAAACGGUAGCUAAUACCGCAUACCAUCGGAUGUGCCCCGAUGGGAUUAGCUAGUGGGUGGGGUAACGGCUCACCUAGGCGACGAUCCCUAGCUGGACUGAGAGGAUGCCCAGCCACACUGGAACUGAGACACGGGCCAGACUCCUACGGGAGGCAGCAGUGGGGAAUAUUGCACAAUGGGCGCAAGCCUGAUGGAGCAAUGCCGCGUGUAUGAAGAAGGCCUUCGGGUUGUAAAGUACUGUCGGCGGGGAGGCGUUACUCACAGAGGAAGCACCGGCUAACUACGUGCCAGCAGCCGCGGUAAUUC
rnacentral:rRNA from 1 species